UAGAACUAAGUCAUAAUAUUUGUAUAGAUAUGUGUCAUAUGAAAAAUAAGGUUGACUACUAUUGUGUUUUGUCCAGUUAUGUCAAUUCAGACCAAAUUUCUAAUUUGUACCAUUUCCGUCUCUGACCUUCUUGAAACAUGUCAGUUCCGGACAGAAAUGGUAUAAAUUUGAAAUUUGGCCUGGAAUGGCAUAUUAGACAAGCCACAGGGACGAAAAUGAC
rnacentral:lncRNA from 1 species